AUGCUGGAGGUAUCAGAAGUGCGAAUGCUGACAUAAGUAACGAUAAUGCGGGUGAAAAACCCGCACGCCGGAAGACCAAGGGUUCCUGUCCAACGUUAAUCGGGGCAGGGUGAGUCGACCCCUAAGGCGAGGCUGAAAAGCGUAGUCGAUGGGAAACGGGUUAAUAUUCCCGUACUGGUGGUAACUGCGAUGGGGGAACGGAGAAGGCUAGGUUGUCCGGGCGACGGUCGUCCCGGUUCAAGCAUGUAGGCAGAGUGAUUAGGCAAAUCCGGUCACUUAAUGCUGAGGUGUGAUGACGAGCCACUAAGGUGGUGAAGCAAUUGAUGCCCUGCUUCCAGGAAAAGCCUCUAAGCUUCAGGUUACCAACAAUCGUACCCCAAACCGACACAGGUGGUCAGGUAGAGAAUACUCAGGCGCUUGAGAGAACUCGGGUGAAGGAACUAGGCAAAAUGGUGCCGUAACUUCGGGAGAAGGCACGCUGGCGGUAAGUGAAGUCCCUUGCGGACGGAGCCGAAGCCAGUCGAAGAUACCAGCUGGCUGCAACUGUUUAUUAAAAACACAGCACUGUGCAAACACGAAAGUGGACGUAUACGGUGUGACGCCUGCCCGGUGCUGGAAGGUUAAUUGAUGGGGUUAUCCUUAGGGAGAAGCUCUUGAUCGAAGCCCCAGUAAACGGCGGCCGUAACUAUAACGGUCCUAAGGUAGCGAAAUUCCUUGUCGGGUAAGUUCCGACCUGCACGAAUGGCGUAAUGAUGGCCAGGCUGUCUCCACCCGAGACUCAGUGAAAUUGAACUCGCUGUGAAGAUGCAGUGUACCCGCGGCAAGACGGAAAGACCCCGUGAACCUUUACUAUAGCUUGACACUGAACAUUGAGCCUUGAUGUGUAGGAUAGGUGGGAGACUAUGAAGUGUGGACGCCAGUCUGCAUGGAGUCAACCUUGAAAUACCACCCUUUAACGUUUGAUGUUCUAACCUAGGCCCGUAAUCCGGGUCGGGGACCGUGUCUGGUGGGUAGUUUGACUGGGGCGGUCUCCUCCUAAAGAGUAACGGAGGAGCACGAAGGUUGGCUAAGCAUGGUCGGACAUCAUGCGGUUAGUGCAAAGGCAUAAGCCAGCUUGACUGUGAGAGUGACGGCUCGAGCAGGUACGAAAGUAGGUCUUAGUGAUCCGGUGGUUCUGAAUGGAAGGGCCAUCGCUCAACGGAUAAAAGGUACUCCGGGGAUAACAGGCUGAUACCGCCCAAGAGUUCAUAUCGACGGCGGUGUUUGGCACCUCGAUGUCGGCUCAUCACAUCCUGGGGCUGAAGUAGGUCCCAAGGGUAUGGCUGUUCGCCAUUUAAAGUGGUACGCGAGCUGGGUUUAGAACGUCGUGAGACAGUUCGGUCCCUAUCUGCCGUGGGCGUUGGAAGAUUGAGAGGGGUUGCUCCUAGUACGAGAGGACCGGAGUGAACGCACCACUGGUGUUCGGGUUGUCAUGCCAAUGGCAUUGCCCGGUAGCUAAGUGCGGAAGAGAUAACCGCUGAAAGCAUCUAAGCGGGAAACUUGCCUCGAGAUGAGUCUUCCCUGUCACCUUGAGUGACCUAAAGGAACGUUUAAGACUAAGACGUUGAUAGGCUGGGUGUGUAAGCGUAGCGAUACGUUGAGCUAACCAGUACUAAUGAACCGUGAGGCUUAACCUGACAACACCGAAGGUGUUU
rnacentral:rRNA from 1 species